CUCCCAUCCCAUCCUCCCAAGCCACCCACCGACCUCCCAUCCCAUCCCCCAACCACCCCCGAAGGAGCUUGAGGCAUUCCAUGAGGGAUCAUCAAAAUAUGCUAAGUCAUUUCGGGAAGGACCUGAGCCCUCCUCUAAGUAUCCAGGCUAAGAGAGUAUCUCUCCAUGGGGAAUGGGCUCCCAAAGUCCAUUUGUGCACUGUGGAUACAUACUGCUUCCACUGCCAGAGGCUCCAUAGACUGUCCAGGGGGCCUGGUUUGGUCUUAUGUUGGUUCCCCAGCUAUCAGACUGGUGUCCAUGAGUUCCCACUUGCUCAAGUCAGCUGUUUCUGUGGGUUUUCCCAGCAUGGUCUUUACCCCUUUGUUCAUCAUUCCUCCCUCUCUACAACUGGAUUCCAGGAGUUCAGCUCCUUGCCAAGCUGUGUGUGGAUCUCUGCUUCUGCUUCCAUUAGGUACUGGAUGAAGGCUCUAGGAUGGCAUUUAAGUUCUACUGGAGCCCUAAAAUAGAACAGCCCACUGCCACUGUGAAGGUCUGAAGUUGGGCAAUCCACCAAUGGGACAUGGUAACUCUGGAACCCACUAAGGAUUUAUCCGAGAUACUGGCCAUCAUUUCAUAUAUUUGUUGGUUCUCUAGAAUACUCUACUUUCCUUAUAAGGCUGUCUUCAUUUGCCUUGACUUAUAAAUCACACAGACCAGAAGGACAAAUGGUGACAGGGUAUCUCUGUGAAGUCCUGGCUGUCCUGGAACUCAUUCUGUAGACCAGUGCUGGAGUUAAAGCCAGAACCUGGAAGCAACCUAGAUGCCCCUCAGCUGAAUAAUUGAUGGAGAAAAUGUGGUACAUUUAUACCAUGGAGUGCUUAACAGUGGGAAAAAAAUGGAAUUGUGAUACUCGUAGGCAAAUGGAUGGAACUAGAAGAAACCAACUUAGUGAGAUAGCAUUAGACGAUGACUCAAAAAUGGACCUCUUCAGGAUCAACCCUCAGAUAUCCAGCCAUCUGUGACUAAAUUAUAAUUUUUUAAACUUCUCUAAUAUUAAUACAUCAUACUUUGUUUUAACAUAAUUCUUAAUGUAGAAUUUAUGAGUGAAAGAGUGUUUUUGAGUUUAAAGCCAUC
rnacentral:lncRNA from 1 species